rnacentral:tRNA from 1 species
GCAGAGAUAUCGAAGCGGUCAUAACGAGGCGCACUCGAAAUGCGUUUGGGGUCCCCCCACGAGGGUUCGAAUCCCUCUCUCUGCGCCA